UACGGAGGGUGCGAGCGUUGUCCGGAAUCACUGGGCGUAAAGGGCGCGUAGGUGGCGCGGGCAGUCAACGGUGAAAGUUCGGGGCUCAACCCUGAAUCGGCCGUCGAUACUCCCGGGCUUGAGCACUGUAGAGGCAGAUGGAAUUCCGGGUGUAGCGGUGGAAUGCGUAGAGAUCCGGAAGAACACCGGUGGCGAAGGCGGUCUGCUGGGCAGUAGCUGACACUGAGGCGCGACAGCGUGGGGAGCAAACAGGG
rnacentral:rRNA from 1 species